AAAGGAUUCCUUUGGGUUGGGGUAAAAAUGGAAGGCACAGUCCUCACUCGCCCCCUACUGGUCUAGAGGGGCUACCUCGCCCCAGAUUUUCGUAAUUUUGUGUGGUUGCAUUCUAUGUAAGAAUCACAGAACUGAAGCAGAAUGUCAUGAGUCCAAGGGGAAGUGACUUGCUGAAACACACAAACUUUAUGACCCAACAAUUUGUCAACAUUACCCCCAAAAACAUUGAUGGACCUGGACACCUGUUGGGAGAAAUUUCUAAACUAUGCCAGCUGCUUCUCUGUCAGAGGGGAGGCCCCAGAGUCACCUUAGAACUUUUGUUAUUCAGGAGCUCCUGCAGGUGCUCAAGCAACUAAUUGGAAAAAUUAGACCUGACUCUUGCGGCCCUGAAGUGCUGGUUGAAGCCGAUUGAGCUAAUUGCAAGGGGUAACUAAUCUGCCUCAUUUCAACACCCAAGAAAAGCAAUACCUGUUUUUUUUCUGCCUGCUGACUUCUUCAUGCACAUGACCCUAGGACGAAGCCUGUAUUAUCCUCAAGUUUAUGUCUUCAGGAAAUUUUAUCAUUUAGGCCUCUUCUCUUCCCCAGGGACUCUGCUGAAGGGAUGGGCAUUCAUUCAGUAGCCAUGUGUUGAACCCCAUUACUCUGUUUCAUCACUUGGGCCCUGGCUGAUUUGACCAGGGGUAUCUGACCCAAGGCAGACAGUCCAUAAGCCAGUCAGUGAACUGUAUCACCUGGUGCUGAGAGAUGAGCUGAUGGCCAAACUUAUGCUCUUAAACAUCUUAACUAAGAUAUGUAGAGAAUGAGACAUAGAGAAGUCAGAACCUUCCCACACCGCUGGUAGGAAUGUAAAAUGGUGCAGACACUCUGGAAAACAGUCUGGCAGUUCCUCAGAAAGUGAAAUAUUGAAUCACCAUGUGGUCCAGCAAUUCCACUCCUAGGUAUAUGCCCCAGUGAAACAAAAUAUAUGUCCAGAAAAAAACUUGUGUGGCCCCAAGCUCACAGCAGCAUUAUUUUUAAUAGCCAUAGAUGGAAAUGACCCAAAUGUCCAUCAGCUGAUGAGUGGAUAAAUAAAAUGUGGUCUAUCCACA
rnacentral:lncRNA from 1 species